rnacentral:tRNA from 1 species
CAAUUGAUAUCUUAAAAAAAGAAUUGAUUUUUUAAAUCAAAAUAUAAUAAUUUAAAUUUAUUUCAAUUGA